GCUUGUCUCAAAGAUUAAGCCAUGCAUGUCUCAGUAUAAGCUUCUAUACGGCGAAACUGCGAAUGGCUCAUUAAAACAGUUAUAGUUUAUUUGGUGGUCAACUCUUACAUGGAUAACCGUGGUAAUUCUAGAGCUAAUACAUGCGCCCAAACCCAACUUCUUGGAAGGGUUGUGUUUAUUAGAUACAGAACCAACCCAGGCUCCGCCUGGCCUUGAGGUGAUUCACAAUAACCGAACGAAUCGCAUAGCUGCCGCUGGCGAUAGACCAUUCAAGUUUCUGACCUAUCAGCUAUCGUCGGUAGGGUAUUGGCCUACCGUGGCAAUGACGGGUAACGGAGAAUUAGGGUUCGAUUCCGGAGAGGGAGCCUGAGAAACGGCUACCACAUCUAAGGAAGGCAGCAGG
rnacentral:rRNA from 1 species